rnacentral:rRNA from 1 species
GGGUCAGUAGGUUGGUCGUGCCACCGGUACGUACUGGUCUCACUGAUUCCUCCUUCCUGAAGAACCGUAAUGCCAUUAAUUUGGUGUUGCGGGGAAACAGGACUGUUACUUCGCAAAAAUUAGAGUGUUUAAAGCAAGCUAACGCUUGAAUACAUUAGCAUGGAAUAAUGAAAUAGGACGAUCGAUCCUAUUUUGUUGGUUUCUAGGAUUGACGUA